GUGAAUUUAGAGGCUAAAUUUUGGUUAUAAUUGAUAAGUACUCCAUUCGAUCGGGGGUCUGUCCAGUCAGUGACAACAAGGAGAGAGCUUGAAAAUGGCAAUGGCCUGGAGGCUUCCUACCCAGCUGGCAACGCCCGGAAACCUCCAUCACAAUGACUCCAAAACGCCGUCGUUCGAAGCCUCACUCUUAUGGUGCCGGACUUUAGCUCCAGACCAUCUCCUUCCUAUGUCAAAAUCUUCCACCUCUACCGCCACUGGUUUGUCUCCUCCUCACUUUAACAGGAAAGCUUUCGUUUUGCCACUUCAAUUCACAAGAUUGAAAAGAACCCAUUUUUUUAUUUACAAAUUUGAAAAGAACCCUUUUUUUCUUAUUUUUGAUUUUUGUGUGUUGGGACCAAUACGCGGCGUUUCAUGAAAUGUACGGCAAGGACGGGAGCUGGGGCUGUGAAUCUUGCUCCGGGGAGACCCGUUUGACCCCCCAACAUACUGGUGGUCGGCCCCACCGGGACUCUGAGGAGGCAGAUUGUGAGGAGAGCACUUGAUGAAGGAUGUGAUCGCUUUGCAGAGUGAAUGUGAUGUGCUCAUGUGUUGGUGAACAGGCAGACCUUAGCAAACCAGAGACAAUCAUCAAUUGCGCCACGGGACAUCCAGAAGAGCCCAUAAAAAAGGUUGGGAAGGAAAAGUUGCUCUUAUACAAUGUGUGAAAGCAAUGGGAAUCCAAAAAUUUGUAUUCUAUUCCAUCCACAACUGUGACAAGCAUCCCGAAGUUCCACUUAUGGAUAUCAAGUAUUUCACUGAAAAGUUUCUCCAGGAUUCAGGCAUAAAUUACAUCGUAAUUCAUUUAUGUGGAUUCAUGCAAGUUCCAACGUAUCAGCAGCAGAAGCUUCAGGUCCUUUUCUGAAAAUAACAGUACCAAGACUCCAAACUCCAAAGAGUCCAUUGUCUCCAACACUGGCCUUAAGCCCAUCACUUGAAUUCAAGUUGGUCUGGUCGGUUUUGUUGCUAGUUUUGUAAUUGCUGAACCUGGGCUUUCUGUUUUUUCAUUCGUUCUCAUCGCUUCUACAGAAGAGGUCAGUUUUCUUUUCUGCUUUAAACAGGGUUUAAAGAGUAAUUAUAUGUGAUUGAUUUUCUGCUAUGGUGCGUAUUGAAAUUUCUUAUUUAUAUAAUUGUAGAUGUUCUUAGUGUGCAUUUAUUUUACUUGAUUGGUUUAUAGAAGAAUUGAUUUGUAUUGGUUGUGGAUCCUGUUAAUCUUUGGUUCUGUGAUGCCUUGUACUUUCAAUAAUUUCAAUGCUAAGUACGGCUUUUUCUAUGCUGAGAAGAAAGUAGACUUUUUGAAUUUGAGUUAUCUAAUGCACUCUUUGAAUGGUACUUUAGUGAUUUUUAUUGAAGUGUAUGAAUUGUAAGUCAAAGAAUACAUACUUUACUUUGGUGGCAUCAGAGGUGGAUUUGGAAUUUCUUGGGGAUGUUUUCUUUAUCAGAGCGAUGAUUGGGAUAUCGUUAGAAUCUGACACAUUUUCUUCUGGAGUCUUGACAGUGAGAGUUGUGUCGGGUUUCUCUUUAGUUGUUACAUCUCUUGUACCACCAUUCAUUACACGUAUGAAAUGUGUAAUGGCUGCUGUACAUAGAACGGAAGUAUCGCAGAGCAUGUUUAAAGAGAGUGGUUAAUGUGACAGAAUCAACUACAAAACACAGAGACAUAAGGGAAAUUUUUCAUAGGUUUUAUUUUAAUAAUUGAGAAGGUUCUCUAUUGGAUUGAGAACAAUAGAAGCUUUAAAAAGUAGGUGGGUGUUUUUACCUUUUUCUGGAUCCAGAAUGCUUAAAUCUUGUACACAUUUUGUUUUUUCAGCUUCUAAUUGUUGAGGUACCAUUGGUUGCA